AACCUCCGCAAUGUGAGAAAUCGCGACGGGGAGAUCCCAAGUGCCAUUCUUAACGGGAUGGCUUUUCUUAAGUGUAAAAAGCUUUUGGAAUAAGAGCUGGGCAAGACCGGUGCCAGCCGCCGCGGUAACACCGGCAGCUCUAGUGGUAGCUGUUUUUAUUGGGCCUAAAGCGUUCGUAGCCGGUUUGAUAAGUCACUGGUGAAAUCCUGUAGCUUAACUGUGGGAAUUGCUGGUGAUACUGUUGAACUUGAGGUCGGGAGAGGUUAGCGGUACUCCCAGGGUAGAGGUGAAAUUCUGUAAUCCUGGGAGGACCACCUGUGGCGAAGGCGGCUAACUGGAACGAACCUGACGGUGAGGGACGAAAGCUAGGGGCGCGAACCGGAUUAGAUACCCGGGUAGUCCUAACUGUAAACGAUGCGGACUUGGUGUUGGGGUGGCUUUGAGCUGCUCCAGUGCCGAAGGGAAGCUGUUAAGUCCGCCGCCUGGGAAGUACGGUCGCAAGACUGAAACUUAAAGGAAUU
rnacentral:rRNA from 1 species